AAGGUGGAAAAACAACAACAACGACCAGAGCCACAGAACAAACAAAAAGAACUCGAGCCCAGAACCUCAGGAUCGUUUCUGGUCGCAGUCCCAGGAAGCUCCCGGGGCAAAUCUGGCCGACGCGCACCCAGGCCAAGCAACGAGUUCCACCCACGCACCUAGUCCCUCUCCCCGCGCGUCAGACACAUCUGUCAUCGGAAAACCGCGUGAAAGGAAGCAGGCAAUCAGCAGGAGAACCUGGCCGAAUUAGUAAGUUUUUGUUUGUUUGGUUUUUUUCCCCCUCAUUCUACCUUUCUCUCCAGAAACCGAGUCCCUCAGAAUAGAAGGUGCUGUGUUGACACUAAUAAAAAAGCAGGUCGAUUAAUUCACUUUGCCCUCACCUCUUCCCACCUCCCCAGGUCGGGAACUGUCUUCAAUUGUUUGGAAAUUCAACCGAGCCAACUGGGUCAUGAAUGAAAAAAAAAAAAAAAAAAAUCCAAACCCGGGAGACUGGCAAGGAACGCGGAGGGCAGGGCCACUUCUUUUUGGGCUCGGCAAGGUCGCUGGGGAAGAGGGGAGAGACCUCAGUGCUCCUGCCCCAUGCCAGGGCGCUGUGCCACUGAAAGGAGGCUGGCAUUCACUGCCAUGGUGAGCGAGAGAGAGAGAGAGGAGAGGGAGUGUGUGUGUGUGUGUGUGUGUGUGUGUGCGCGCGCGCGCGCACGUGUGAAGGGGGGCAAGUGUGAACGGUGAGUGUGGGCGAGGGUGAGUAUGCCCCUCUUCAAAGCCGCCCUAGUGCCCUCUCCCACCGCCGCCGGCGCCGGCUGCCAUCUCACCACCUUUGCUCCUGUCUCCCCACAUGUCUCACCUUCAGAUGGCGGCUCCCAGAAGCUCCUGCCCCUCUGACAGCUGUCGCUUGGGCAGCCGGGGAGACGAAUUGUCCUCCUUCCUGGUGCCAGAGGACGCAGGAAAUUAGCCAGGUUGCGAGUUGCGAAGCGGCCGCCGCGGCGCCGGGAACUGGACGCGCCCCACCUCCAGCGGGAGCGGCCGGGCCGGGCCGGGCCGGGGCCUCGUCUCGCUCGCCAUCGCCGGACAAAGCGCAGCCAAGCCCGGCUGGAAGGCAGAGCUCCGAAGCAGGCAGGACGGAGCGGAGCAAAAGAAUGCGGCUCUAUUCUCGCAAGGGAAAUUAUAAAAAAGUUCAUGUUCACGGUUCCCAUCCACAUGACCGACAGCGGCCAAUGGAAGGGCCGAACAACUCAUAAAGUUGUAUUGCAAAGUUGUAAAUUUUCAUAAACAACAACGGAUUUAUGACCCUUUCCCCAUCACUAAGAGGAGGCAGCUCUUACACCGGCGCCAUCUUACCACCGAGGCUGCCCCGACUUGGGGACGCAGGUUUUACAAACCCAGUUGGGCCGGGUUUUAUUAAAAGAGCAAGAAGAAGCGGGCCCAACCGAGGCAGGAGGCUGGAGUCGAGGUCUUCGCCCGCCGAGCUCAGGCUAUUCUGCGCUGUGCCCAUCGCCCUUCGCCCCUUAGGCAGACCCUCAUCCUUCCCCGCGCCCGGACGCCCCCGCCAAGGCUCCGCAGCCAGGGGGUCUGCGGUCCCUGCCCCUUCCUCUACCCCUCAGUUGCAGUGCUGUGCCCAGGCGCCCUUGCUUUGCCUGAAUGCAGGGUGGGAGGGGGGCUGCGUCAAAGGGCCUGAAUCCCACCUCCUAGCAUGGGGCUGGGUUCAUGGAAAAUUCAGGAUCAUUGGCAGGGUAAUACCCCUUCCCAAGCCCACCCCACAGCAGUAGGGGAAACGGUGGAUUUUGGAUUUGCUCACGGAAUUUAUGGGUUUUUAGAGAGAUUCAUAGACUAUAAUGUAUCUACCGAAGAUUCCGUUUUCUAGAGAUCCGGGAGAUGUUUGUGCACACACGCAAAACCAAGACAAAAAUCUCCAGAGAAAUGCACAUGUACAAUUAUAGACGCACAGAAACACACACACUCAAUUAUGGACACAGAAAUACAUAAAAUUAUGGAUUCCUGUAGUAAUACACACAUACAUAAAAAUGCACAUACAAAAGAGGUACACACGCACCUAUACAAAUCCACACAAAAAGGGACCCGCCACACAUAAACACCAAACCAUGGACACUCAACACCUGGACGUUAUUCAUCCUUCCAUGUUUGCUUCCCCAAGACCCCUUUGGGCAUGCAGACAUACCCAGGGCUUGCUCUCCAGCCAUGGUCACCUCUCUUUCCCAGGCCCCCCUAGAUAAAGCAGUACAUGUUUCUUUGUCACCAAGCAUCUUUAUUUUUCUGUUACAUAAAACACGGUUAGCUGGGCAAGACAGGAAGCAUGCCUUCCCAUUCCUGGAACCCCAAGCUAAAGCCUAAAGGGACAAGGGGGGGGGGGACGCAGGACAACACAAGAGAUGAAGGGCAUUGAGAAGGGCAUUAGCCCUCCCCGCCAGCUAUAAAGUUAGCUCAAGACAACACACCAUGCUACAAAGUCACCCCAUUAACACAUCCUUCCCAAGUCAAGACAUUGCCUUACAAAUGACCUCCAAGACUAUAUAAAUGACAAAAAAAAAAUCUUGUUCAAAUAUACAAUAUUUGCUAUUGUAGGAAAAGUCAGGGUGUACAUAUUCAACAUGGCUGGACAGUAGGACAUGGGGCCAGGGGAGGUGCAGGAGGCUGGGAGCAUCUCUGCAGUCCUACUAAGCAAAGCUAACCCAGAGGUCUGCAGCUAGCUUGGGAGUGCUCCCCUCCAGAAGUGGGAGUAAAGGGCCUGAACUUGGGGUGCCCAGACCAGAGAUGGAGGGAUUCUAGGUUGCAGCACUUAGAAUGCUUUGGAAUAAAUAUAUUAUUUUUCAAUUUAAAUAGAAGCCAAUACCCUGGUCCCCGGACCCCAGCGUCUUCUCAGUGCAGCCUCAGGGACCCCAAAGGCUGCUGGGCAGAAGCAAGAGGGGCCUGGCCGGGGAAGGGGCCGGCACUAGGUAGCAGGCGAGCCAGUGAGCACAAAAUAGGUAGUUUGGGGCGAGUAGGUAGUACUGAGAAAAUCAGGUCCUUGUCGGUAUGGGGGAGGUGCUGGGUGUCUGCCAGUGUUGGGACGCGUCUGGGCUUCCUGGGAGUGGAGGCCUACUGGGGACUGGGCCCAUAGGUAGUUUGGGGUUGCCUCUGGCCGAGGCCUGUGCUAGGUAGUAUUUUAGCCGUGCCAGUGCAGAACUGGGCGGCCAGGGUAGGGAGAGUGUCUGCUGGGAGUCCUUGGGGCAGAGGGAUCCCCAAGGGGACCCAGUCUAGGCGGCUGCUUAGUCCAGAAAAGGUGGGAGCUGGGAUAGGUAAUGGGGUAGAUGGGUGCAGGUUGGGGAUUGUUGUUUUUGUUUUUGUUUUUGUUUUUCACGUUUUCUUUUUAUUUUUUCCACUUUUGUAAAUAAAUUCAGUGAGUCUCUAAA